rnacentral:misc_RNA from 1 species
GAUGAAGAACGCAGCGAAAUGCGAUAGGUAAUGUGAAUUGCAGAAUUCAGUGAAUCAUCGAAUCUUUGAACGCACAUUGCGCCCUUUGGUAUUCCUUAGGGCAUGCCUGUUCGAGCGUCACUACACACCUUAUCACAAUAUUUGUGGUCUUGGCAGGAGUGAAUUGCUGGUCUAUGGAAGUAUUCCAGCAGUACACAAUGCUAAAAAAUAUGGGAAGGUUACCAGAUAUGAACAACAGACUUUGUAAAUGGUUGUAGGACCUAGAUCAGUCACAAGUCAUAUCUGGUCCCUUACCUUAAGGACCCCCAUCCUAGAUGAACUAUGGGUUGACCUCGGAUCAGGUAGGAAUACCCGCUGAACUUAAGCAUAUCAAUAAGCGGAGGA